rnacentral:lncRNA from 1 species
UCCCCAGAUCCCGAGCUUAAAAAUACUCUAUUUAAGAGUCCUGAUAAAGGUCCUAUCCCCCUCAUUAUACAAUCUUCAGCAUGGCUUCAGAAAAUCAAGGUCGUGUGAGACACAAUUAAUAGACUUCAUUCAAAAACUAGCACAAUCAAAUAAUAGAAACACACAAAUUGACUUGAUCAUAAUGAACUUCGCUAAAGCGUUGGACAAAGUCUCACAUGGUCACCUUCUUUACAAACUCAAAUUCUAUGGUAUUGAAAAUAACAC